rnacentral:rRNA from 1 species
AAACUUUCAACAAAGGAUCUCUUGGCUCUCGCAUCGAUGAAGAACGUAGUGAAGCGCGAAAUGUAGUGUGAAUCGCAGAACAUUGUGAAUCAUCGAAUCUUUGAACGCACAUUGCGCCUCUCUCCACGGGAGGCAUGCCUGUCUGAGCGUCAUUA